GACGGAGGAUGCAAGCGUUAUCCGGAAUGAUUGGGCGUAAAGCGUCCGCAGGUGGCAGUUCAAGUCUGCUGUCAAAGACCGGGGCUUAACUUCGGAAAGGCAGUGGAAACUGAACAGCUAGAGUAUGGUAGGGGCAGAGGGAAUUCCUGGUGUAGCGGUCGAAAUGCGUGAGAGAUCAGGAAGAACAUCGGUGGCGAAGGCGCUCUGCUGGACCAUAACUGACGCUGAGGUGCGAAAGCGUGGGGAGCAAACAGG
rnacentral:rRNA from 1 species